GACGAACGCUGGCGGCGUGCUUAACACAUGCAAGUCGAACGGUAAGGCCCUUCGGGGUACACGAGUGGCGAACGGGUGAGUAACACGUGGGUGAUCUGCCCUGCACUUCGGGAUAAGCCUGGGAAACUGGGUCUAAUACCGGAUAGGACCACUGCCUGCAUGGGUGGUGGUGGAAAGCUUUUGCGGUGUGGGAUGGGCCCGCGGCCUAUCAGCUUGUUGGUGGGGUGAUGGCCUACCAAGGCGACGACGGGUAGCCGGCCUGAGAGGGUGACCGGCCACACGGGGACUGAGAUACGGCCCAGACUCCUACGGGGGGCAGCAGUGGGUAAUAUUGCACAAUGGGCGCAAGCCUGAUGCAGCGACGCCGCGUGAGGGAUGACGGCCUUCGGGUUGUAAACCUCUUUCAGCACCGACGAAGCGCAAGUGACGGUAGGUGCAGAAGAAGGACCGGCCAACUACGUGCCAGCCGCCGCAGUAA
rnacentral:rRNA from 1 species